rnacentral:tRNA from 1 species
AAAAUCCGUCGACUUUAGAAAUCGUGAGGGUUCAAGUCCCUCUNUCCCCN